AAAAAAAAAGAAAAAAAAAUUCCAUUCUUUGUAUUUAUUAUCUAUUAAAAAUUAAUAGGUUAAGGAUAGAAAAUAAAGUGCUCAUUCCUCCGUACGACUAUAUUGGUUAAUAACACGAUGUUAUAUACGUGUGAGUACAUCCCUCUCUUCGAACGAAAGAGGAACGCGUUCAUUCGUGUGUACGCACGCGCCGCCUAGAGGCCAAGCAGUGCGUUGACCUUCGCUAAGGAUGUGCCCAUGUCCCCAGGCCGGGUCACACUCGAGUCUUGCGAUCGUAGGAAAACAUGUACGACAGAAGUACACACCGCACGUGUCGCGAACUCAUUUUGAAGAUCCGUUCACAUCGAAACAAAUUAAAAGAGCACAUAAUAAUCAAGAAAAAUACGAAAAGGAAAAAUAUAGCACGUACGUGUGAAAGCAUCUUUAAUCUUGUUUUCAUCGAAGUCACUCGGUCUCGUCUCCUUUCGGAGCUUUCUUCUUCUGCUGCCCUGCUUCCAAGUAUUUGCUAAAGGCGGUACGACGUUACGAGAGACUCCACCCAUAAGGCUGACACGGACACGUCCAAUACCCGGAUCCUUCUCUCUUUUAGAUAGCACCUUACCAAGAAGGAUAUAAAGGUAUCAUGGUGUCUCGUGUAUAACUUUCGUGAAAAUAAGGGAGUCAAGGGAGAAAAAAUAGAAGAGAAGAGUAUGAGAUAAGGGACUCUGGCUGGUAGUACGCAACGAUGAAAAUUUAUUCGUCGCACGUGCGAAAUAUCAAGUUUGCUGCUAAGACACUUGAAAGGUUUAUGCGCUUCGAUACGUGCUGCAAUACGUCGUCGUAUCCCAUUGCGGAUAUAACGAUCGUUGUGUGCAGUGCCGUAGCGAGUAUGCCGGACUCGAUCGAAGAACGAUCGGCUGAUGAAAGGGGAAGAGAUGGAAGACUAUAUACAUAAGAGGGGAAAAAGUCAUAGAAGAGGGUAAGUCUCGAAAGGGUUGACACGUGCGUGAAAUGCGUAUCACCCUCAUGUCUUCCCCGUCAUCAUCAUAAUCAACAUCGUUGUUGUAGUCGUCAUAGUCGUCAUAGUCGCCUCGUCCUCCUUAUUUCAAUGAGGGCUACGCACAGGUGCGCGUGAGCGUGCAAGGAUUAAGAGGACGUCUCGUUGAAGCUUCGCGAAGAUGAGAGCAAGUCUCUAACUUCGCAAGGAGGGUGAGGAAGAGAGAAAAAGGGGGAGAGAGAGAGAGAGAGAGAGAGAGAGAGAGAGAGAGAGAGGACUUUGCUAUACUUCAGUUUCAGAUGUUCUCAACACGGUUAGUAUGGGGCGCCGGUCAAUACUAGCGCCGCGCAGUAUGUUCAGUGCCGUCACCUAUGCGCAUUCACCCCUUGCUAUUUGUUAAAUCUAUCGAAAACAAUUUUCUACUUGACUUUCUUCAAUUUUUAUCAUAUAUUCUCGAGUUAUUCGAAAUAGAUGAUUAGAAUACGAUUCGUCAAGGUUUUAGAAAAAUAUCGUAGUAAUCUUAAAUCGAAGUAAUUUUAAUGAUUUUCUAAAGGAUACUUUGGAAGGAAUAUAUCCUUGGAAUAGAACAGUAGAAUCUUGUAAAAUUUUAUCGAUAUUUCAAAUCGUUUCAUUUAGAAUAGAUCGAGCAAUAUUAGUUCGAUGUUUCAACGUUUUUUUUUUUUUUCGAAUCAUAGAUAAUCGAGAGAUCUUAAAGUCGUCGUUGAAAAAUAAAAAAUAGAGAGAGUAGAGAUUGUGGAUAGUAAAUCUAGAAAAAACAAGAGUGAGAGAACCGAAGAAAUGUUUAUCGUCGAAAUCGAUCGCCCUCGUCGGCACCGCGUCAAAAUCGUAGAAGCGGAGGGGACUAGUCUAGGAUACGAGAAUACGGUACUAGCUACUAAGAGAAAGCACUGCGGCAAUCGAAACGAAACACGGUCGAUCGAUAAAUCGAGCAACGUAAUCGAAAAUUGGUCCUUAAUCGUGAUGUCACUCCUAUCGUAUUUGCUUCAAAAGAUACUCGAAAUCUAUUUUAAAUUAAAUCACGAAAGUGAACAUGUGCGAGGUAUUAGAAUUUUUAUUGACUAUUAAAUUGAGAGGUAAUCUAAAAAAAAUAUAAAAAUAUUAAGUUACACAUGAUAACUAUGCAGUCAAUAACUAUGUAGAAGAAUCGUAUGUUCUAUUCUAUUAAUUGUUAAUUAAUUAACAUUGAAGAAGUAUAUGAGAAAGAGAAUUAGGUAGAAUCAGGUGAAUAAAAAGGCAACUUCAAGCUUUUUCGAAGCGAAUUUCUUCAUUUCUUUGCGUUUUCUACUUCGUAUUCAGUAGUAAUAGCCUAUCGUAGGCAGGCACGGUACGUUUCUAAGGAACGCGCGUUUCGAGUUUCGUAAAAUAAUUGAUUCAUGUUGAAUGAAAGAUACAUAAAAGGAGAAUAGAACAAAAAGAAAUACGAGAAAAAUAGAGAGAAUGAGAGAAAGAGAGAAAGAGAGAAUGAAAGAAAAAAAGGAGCCUCGUGCUUUCUUGAAGUAUGUUUUAUUAAAUUUUCAUUCAGUAGUAAUAUUUUGUUUUGGACAGACACGAUAUCUUUUUUAACUUCUUAACUUUGGUAUUAUUCAUUUUUUUGUACAUCAAGAAUUUUUGUAUUUUGUUAGUUUUUGAUUGUAUUUAUUUUUUUAGCAGAUAUGCUUUUGCAUAGUGAAAGAGAGAGAGAGAGAGGGAGAGAGAGAGAGAGAGAGAGAGAGAGAGAGAGAGAAAGAAAGGGAGAGAGAGAGGGUGAAGGAGAGAGACGAUACGGCUGGCUAUUUUGGCCGAGGCAGGAAGUCUUACGUACAUCAAACGAAUAGAUUAGCUUCUUCAUAUGUCAGUCACGUAUUCGUCCAUACAUGGUGUUCAAAAAUUCCUUA